CUACGUGCCAGCAGCCGCGGUAAUACGUAGGUCCCGAGCGUUAUCCGGAUUUAUUGGGCGUAAAGCGAGCGCAGGCGGUUAGAUAAGUCUGAAGUUAAAGGCUGUGGCUUAACCAUAGUACGCUUUGGAAACUGUUUAACUUGAGUGCAGAAGGGGAGAGUGGAAUUCCAUGUGUAGCGGUGAAAUGCGUAGAUAUAUGGAGGAACACCGGUGGCGAAAGCGGCUCUCUGGUCUGUAACUGACGCUGAGGCUCGAAAGCGUGGGGAGCAAACAGGAUUAGAUACCCUGGUAGUCCACGCCGUAAACGAUGAGUGCUAGGUGUUGGGUCCUUUCCGGGACUCAGUGCCGCAGCUAACGCAUUAAGCACUCCGCCUGGGGAGUACGACCGCAAGGUUGAAACUCAAAGGAAUUGACGGGGGCCCGCACAGGCGGUGGAGCAUGUGGUUUAAUUCGAUGCAACGCGAAGAACCUUACCUACUCUUGACAUCCAUGGAAUCUUGUAGAGAUACGAGAGUGC
rnacentral:rRNA from 1 species